rnacentral:lncRNA from 1 species
AAACUUGCUCCUUAAUUGGAGGAAAGAGCACACUAACUUCCAUGAUCUGAAGGCUUCCUCUUGUGUGCAGAACUCUAUGUCUUGAUUCUCUUUUCUCUCUGUCAGAUUGACUUGAUGACAGAGAAAUGGGUCGUUGAUGCUGCUGUGGAGGCUCUGUUACGGUUUCCUCUGAUGCCAGGAGAGGAUCCAAGUGCCCGCUGUGUCUCCAAUAAGAAAUAUCAGCCGUCAGUUGACCAGCCUCUCACAGCCACUCAAAGACAUGAACACCAAGAGGAGAAGUGGGACAAAUGUCGGGGAGUAAUGGCAUCCCACAAUCCAUCCCUGGGGGAGAAGGACCAGAAGCCCAAGGAUGUGAGGCAGAUGACAGGUCAUUGCAUAUACCAGCAGCCCCCAAAACCCCAUAUGGCUCAGAACCUGAAGAAGCUACAGAGGGGACCCGCAGUACCAAGGAAUCCCUCCCCAAAAGGGGAGGAUGCCAGGGUAAGUGGAAGCUGGAGUGUUUCAAAACCAGAGGAUCUGCAUGGAUCCCAAAGACUGAGCUUACACCCAGAAACCUGAGUGUCUGUAACCCAGGGAUUCCGACUUAUCAGAGACUGGCCUGUUUCUGAUGUCCUAACCUGGGGGAUUGGCCCAUUCAGAUCCUCCAAGGAGCAAACUUAUUCCCUGUUGAGCAUCACGUUCAGCUUGAUGUCUUUGCAAUACUCAAAUCCAAUUUGUAGACAUCCCCUCUAGAUGCUAACUUCCUUCCUCUCAGAUCACUUUCUAUCAAAGGGGUUCUGGAUAGGGCUAUAAUAUUAUGAAUUUCCUGGCCUUGGGCCCUGGGUCUCUGUCCUCUCCCCGCAAACCCAUAUCCAACUCCAAAACAUCUGUCCUGACAUUAACCUCUGACAGCUGCCCCUGAUUUCUGCUGACUCACCGAGCAUUCUCUCCCUCUAUCCACAGGUGAAGUGCAAGAACUGCGGGGCCUUUGGGCACCUGGCCAGCAGCAAAAGGUGCCCUAUGAAGUGUUGGGAUGGGGCCCUUGCCCCCCAGCCCUUGGGCUGCAAUAGGAAUGAAAACCUGGAACCCAGGAGGCUUCAGGACUUCCAGACCCCAGGGUCCUUCCACGGGACUGGCAGCAGGAAAGAGCAAAGGCAGAGGUGAGGACUCAUAGGGUUAGAGCGAUUCUUGGGCAGUGGAGCCCCAGGGCCCAGUGCCCCUGCCUCUACUCUCUAGGCACGGCUGUCUCAGGCACAAACAGGGAAGCUCAGAGAAGUAGGUAGGUGCUCCGUACAGCCUUGGGCUUCACAUCAGGGCUCAUUCCAGUGUGAGGGAGUUUUGAGGAGUGGGGCCAGGAAUGUCUGGGGGUGUUGUGCAUGGCAGGUGGAGAAGCAAUAGAGUCUGAAUGAGAGCUUUUAAGGCUGAAGCCACUGGAGGGAAGGGGAUGCUUCCUGCAAGCAGAGACUGCCUCUGAGGUCAUGGAAUGAGCUGCCUUUGCAAGGUUCACAGGGGUUUCCAUGCUCCUCCCCUGAAAACAAGGGCAAGGACUGGGCUCUGUGAACGUUCUUGUCUCCUAGUC